UAGGGAAUCUUCCACAAUGGGCGAAAGCCUGAUGGAGCAACGCCGCGUGUGUGAUGAAGGGUUUCGGCUCGUAAAACACUGUUGUAAGAGAAGAAUGACAUUGAGAGUAACUGUUCAAUGUGUGACGGUAUCUUACCAGAAAGGAACGGCUAAAUACGUGCCGC
rnacentral:rRNA from 1 species